UAAAGAAAGUAAGAAAGGGCGUAUGGCGGAUGCCUAGGCUCACGGAGGCGAUGAAGGACGUGAUAAGCUGCGAUAAGCUUCGGGUAGGUGCAAAUAACCCUUGAUCCGAAGAUUUCCGAAUGGGACAACCUAGCCGUCUGAAGGACGGUUACUCAAUCUUCAAGGUUGAGAGCUAACGCAGGGAACUGAAACAUCUUAGUACCUGUAGGAAGAGAAAAUAAAUGAAUGAUUCCCCCAGUAGUGGCGAGCGAACGGGGAACAGCCCAAACCGUUGACGUCGCAAGGCGCCAGCGGGGUUGUAGGACCGCGACAUUGUAUGCAAAUCGUGAACAGAACACUUUGGAAAAUGUGACCAUAGACGGUGAUAGUCCAGUAUGUGAAGCGAAAUGCAGCAUAGCGGUAUCCUGAGUAACGCGGGACACGAGGAAUCCUGCGCGAAUCUGCCGGGACCAUCCGGUAAGGCUAAAUACUCCCGUGAGACCGAUAGCGAACGAGUACUGUGAAGGAAAGGUGAAAAGAACCCCGAGCAGGGGAGUGAAAUAGUUCCUGAAACCAUACGCCUACAAGCGGUCGGAGCAUCUUACGAUGUGACGGCGUGCCUUUUGCAUAAUGAUCCUACGAGUUACCGUCACUGGCGAGGUUGAGUGUCACGAGACACGUAGCCGCAGUGAAAGCGAGCCUGAACAGGGCGCAUAGUCAGUGGGGGUAGACGCGAAACCAAGUGAUCUACACUUGGCCAGGAUGAAGUCCCGGUAACACGGGAUGGAGGUCCGCACCAAUAAGCGUUGAAAAGCUUCUGGAUGAGCCGAGUGUAGGAGUGAAAGGCCAAUCAAACUUGGAGAUAGCUCGUACUCCCCGAAAGGCAUUUAGGUGCCGCGUCGGAUGGUCACCGUGAGAGGUAGAGCGACCGAUAGGACAAGAGGGCUUCACCGCCUAUCGAGUCCUGACGAACUCCGAAUGCUCACGGUCUGCAGUCCGGCAGUAAGGGGGCGGGUGCUAAGGUCCGUCCCCGAGAGGAGAAGAAUCCAGACCGCCGUCUAAGGUCCCGGAGUUCUGCCUGAGUUAGUCUAACGAAGUCUGGUCCCUAUGACAGCUAGGAUGUUGGCUUGGAAGCAGCCAUUCAUUCAAAGAGUGCGUAACAGCUCACUAGUCGAGGGUCCGGGCAUGGAUAAUAAUCGGGUAUAAGGCAGACACCGAAGGCGCGGGAUAGCAUUUAAGAAAGUAUCGGUAGGGGAGCAUACUCACAGCGUUGAAUGGUGUACGUAAGUUAUCCUGGAGCGGUGAGUAAAGCAAAUGUAGGAAUAAGUAACGAUAAGGAGGGUUAGAUUCCCUCCCGCUGUAAGACCAAGGUUUCCCGGGCAAUGCCAAUCAGCCCGGGGUCAGUCGGGUCCUAAGUCUAAGCCGAACGGCGAUGGCGAUGGCAGAGACGGUUAAUAUUCCGUCACUGCCGCAUGGGGCGACGUGGAGACGGAGCAGUGAAACCACCGCGGGGCGACGGAAGUCCCCGUUGAAGAGUGUAGGUGUUGAGGAUGGCAGGCAAAUCCACCGUCCGAGCUGAACUUGAUAGUAUGGAGUCUUCUUCGGAAGAAUCCAAUAGUGUGGGUAAUCAUACUCCCGAGAAAAUCCGCUAAGCUUAACCCAUGCGGCACCCGUACCGCAAACGGACACACGUGGUCGGGUAGAACAUACUAAGGCGUUGAGAGAUUCAUGGUUAAGGAACUAGGCAAAUUGACCCUGUAACUUCGGGAUAAAGGGUCCUCGUGAUGAGCGAGGCGCAGAGAAUAGGUCCAGGCAACUGUUUAACAAAAACACAGGGCUGUGCAAACUCGAAAGAUGACGUAUACAGCCUGACACCUGCCCGGUGCCGGAAGGUUAAGAGGAGAUGUCACUCGCAAGAGGAAGCAUUGAAUUGAAGCCCCGGUAAACGGCGGCCGUAACUAUAACGGUCCUAAGGUAGCGAAAUUCCUUGUCGGGUAAGUUCCGACCUGCACGAAUGGUGUAAUGAUCCGGACGCUGUCUCAACCAUGAGCUCAGUGAAAUUGUAGUAUCGGUGAAGAUGCCGAUUACCCGCGAUGGGACGAAAAGACCCCGUGAACCUUUACUACAGCUUAGCAUUGACCUUGGUCAUCCGAUGUGUAGGAUAGGCCGGAGGCUUCGAAGCGGGAGCGCCAGCUUUCGUGGAGCCAUCCUUGAAAUACGGCCCUUUGGCUGUCUGAGGUCUAACUCGCUAGUGCGAGGACACUGCUUGGUGGGUAGUUUGACUGGGGUGGUCGCCUCCAAAAGCGUAACGGAGGCUUCCAAAGGUGCCCUCGGGUCGAUUGGUAACCGACCUCAAAGAGUGCAAUGGCAUAAGGGCGCUUGACUGGGAGGCAGACAUGCCGAGCAGGCAGGAAACUGGGGCAUAGUGAUCCGGCGGAUGUGUAUGGAAACUCCGUCGCUCAAAGGAUAAAAGGUACUCCGGGGAUAACAGGCUGAUCCCCCCCAAGAGCUCAUAUCGACGGGGUGGUUUGGCACCUCGAUGUCGGCUCGUCACAUCCUGGGGCUGGAGAAGGUCCCAAGGGUUGGGCUGUUCGCCCAUUAAAGUGGCACGCGAGCUGGGUUCAGAACGUCGUGAGACAGUUCGGUCUCUAUCUAUCGUGGGCGUGGGAGUUUUGAGUGGUGCCGUCACUAGUACGAGAGGACCGUGAUGGACAGACCUCCGGUUUACCAGUUGUGCCGCCAGGCGCACCGCUGGGUAUCUGAGUCUGGAUUGGAUAAGCGCUGAAAGCAUCUAAGUGCGAAGCCAGCCGCAAGAUGAGAACUCCAUUGAGGGUCGUCAGAGACGAUGACGUUGAUAGGAUGCAGGUGUAAAGACAGCGAUGUCAAAGCCGAGCAUUACUAAUUGCCCGAACACUUUCUUUAUU
rnacentral:rRNA from 1 species